GUCUACGGCCAUGUUACCCUGAACAAACCUGAUCCCGUCUGAUCUCGAAAGCUAAGCAGGGUCAGGCCUGGUUAGAACUUGAAUGGGAGACCACCUAGGAAGACUAGGUGCUGUAGGUG
rnacentral:rRNA from 1 species